ensembl:snoRNA LOC120098364 small nucleolar RNA SNORA21
CCCCUUUUAAAAGCACUCAGUGUGCCUUUUGCUGAUGACCCACUGAGCUGUCAGGAAGGGGCAGAGUGGAAACAGCACUUCUGGUGACGAGGCAACAUGAUGUGUUGUUUAACUUCAGUCGGUGUUGUGACAAGA